AAAUUGAAGAGUUUGAUCAUGGCUCAGAUUGAACGCUGGCGGCAGGCCUAACACAUGCAAGUCGAACGGUAACAGGAAGAAGCUUGCUUCUUUGCUGACGAGUGGCGGACGGGUGAGUAAUGUCUGGGAAACUGCCUGAUGGAGGGGGAUAACUACUGGAAACGGUAGCUAAUACCGCAUAACGUCGCAAGACCAAAGAGGGGGAGCUUCGGGCCUCUUGCCAUCGGAUGUGCCCAGAUGGGAUUAGCUAGUAGGUGGGGUAACGGCUCACCUAGGCGACGAUCCCUAGCUGGUCUGAGAGGAUGACCAGCCACACUGGAACUGAGACACGGUCCAGACUCCUACGGGAGGCAGCAGUGGGGAAUAUUGCACAAUGGGCGCAAGCCUGAUGCAGCCAUGCCGCGUGUAUGA
rnacentral:rRNA from 1 species